rnacentral:rRNA from 1 species
UACGUAGGGUCCGAGCGUUGUCCGGAAUUAUUGGGCGUAAAGAGCUCGUAGGCGGCUUGUUGCGUCAGCUGUGAAAACCCGCAGCUCAACUGUGGGCUUGCAGCUGAUACGGGCAGGCUUGAGUUCGGUAGGGGAGACUGGAAUUCCUGGUGUAGCGGUGAAAUGCGCAGAUAUCAGGAGGAACACCGGUGGCGAAGGCGGGUCUCUGGACAGUUCCUGACACUGAGGCACGAAGGCCAGGGGAGCAAACGGG